AAUUUUAGCUCUUUGUGCGGACAACCAGUACUUUUACCGUGUUGCUUUGUUUCUAAUAGGGCUAUUGUCAGUAGUUCCUCUAGGGAUUUAAGUGUCAAGUACUCGGAGAGAUUAAUAUCACAUUUGGUCAUCUUAACGCCCGGUUGUUGGUUUUGCUUUACAUGCCAGCAAGGGAUGGUAGACCAUACAUCU
rnacentral:snoRNA from 2 species